rnacentral:rRNA from 1 species
GUGGGGAAUAUUGGGCAAUGGGGGCAACCCUGACCCAGCGACGCCGCGUGAGGGAAGACGGCCUUCGGGUUGUAAACCUCUUUUGUACGGGAAGAAGGAAGUGACGGUACUGUACGAAUAAGUCCCGGCUAACUACGUGCCAGCAGCCGCGGUAAUACGUAGGGGACGAGCGUUGUCCGGAAUUACUGGGCGUAAAGGGCGCGCAGGCUGUGCUGCAAGUCAGCUGUGAAAUGUCUGGGCUUAACCCGGGCAGGCGGUUGAGACUGCAGUGCUGGAGUGCUGGAGAGGCAAGUGGAAUUCCCAGUGUAGCGGUGAAAUGCGUAGAUAUUGGGAAGAACACCGGUGGCGAAGGCGACUUGCUGGGCAGCAACUGACGCUGAGGCGCGAAAGCCAGGGGAGCAAACGGGAUUAGAAACCCCGGUAGUCC